rnacentral:rRNA from 1 species
AUACAGGGCUACUUCUAGUCUUGUAAUUGGAAUGAGUACAACUUACAUCUCUUCACGAGGAUCAAUUGGAGGGCAAGUCUGGUGCCAGCAGCCGCGGUAAUUCCAGCUCCAAAAGCGUAUAUUAAAGUUGUUGCAGUUAAAACGCUCGUAGUCGGGUUUCGGGUCGGGCCGAGCGGUCUGCCGAUGGGUAUGCACUGUUUGGCGCGGCCUUCUUUCCGGAGACCGCGGCUACUCUUAACUGAGCGGGCGUGGGAGACGGAUCGUUUACUUUGAAAAAAUCAGAGUGUUUCAAGCAGGCAGCUCGCUCUUGCAUGGUACAGCAUGGGAUGAUAGAAUAGGACUCCGGUGCUAUUUUGUUGGUUUCGAACACCAGGAGUAAUGAUUAACAGGGACAGUCAGGGGCACUCGUAUUCCGUCGAGAGAGGUGAAAUUCUCAGACCAAUGGAAGACGAACCACUGCGAAAGCAUUUGCCAGGGAUGUUUUCACUGAUCAAGAACGAAAGUUAGGGGAUCGAAGACGAUCAGAUACCGUCGUAGUCUUAACCAUAAACCAUGCCGACUAGGGAUUGGAGGGUGUUCGUUUCGACCUCUUCAGCACCUUACGGGAAACUAAAGUCUUUGGGUUCCGGGGGGAGUAUGGUCGCAAGGCUGAAACUUAAAGGAAUUGACGGAAGGGCACCACCAGGAGUGGAGCCUGCGGCUUAAUUUGACUCAACACGGGGAAACUUACCAGGUCCAGACAUUGUUAGGAUUGACAGAUUGAGAGCUCUUUCUUGAUUCGAUGGGUGGUGGUGCAUGGCCGUUCUUAGUUGGUGGAGUGAUUUGUCUGGUUAAUUCCGAUAACGAACGAGACCGUAGCCUGCUAAAUAGUCCCGCGAACUUCUUGUUGGCGGCCGACUUCUUAGAGGGACAACUUGUGACCAACAAGUGGAAGUUUGCGGCAAUAACAGGUCUGUGAUGCCCUUAGAUGUUCUGGGCCGCACGCGCGCUACACUGAAGCACUCAACGAGUCCACCUCGACCGACAGGUCUGGGAAACCUUUUGAAAUUGCUUCGUGAUGGGGAUAGAUUAUUGCAA